rnacentral:rRNA from 1 species
AGCGAACGCUGGCGGCAGGCCUAACACAUGCAAGUCGAACGAAGUCUUCGGACUUAGUGGCGGACGGGUGAGUAACACGUGGGAACGUGCCUUUAGGUUCGGAAUAACUCAGGGACACUUGUGCUAAUACCGAAUGUGCCCUUCGGGGGAAAGAUUUAUCGCCUUUAGAGCGGCCCGCGUCUGAUUAGCUAGUUGGUGAGGUAAUGGCUCACCAAGGCUACGAUCAGUAGCUGGUCUGAGAGGAUGACCAGCCACAUUGGGACUGAGACACGGCCCAAACUCCUACGGGAGGCAGCAGUGGGGAAUCUUGCGCAAUGGGCGAAAGCCUGACGCAGCCAUGCCGCGUGGAUGAUGAAGGUCUUAGGAUUGUAAAAUCCUUUCACCGGUGAAGAUAAUGACUGUAGCCGGAGAAGAAGCCCCGGCUAACUUCGUGCCAGCAGCCGCAGUAACAC